GAGCUGUCAGCACAGAGUCCGACGUGGGGCUUGAACUCACAGAGUGUGAGAUCAUGACCUGAGCUGAAGUCAGACGCUUAACCAACUGAGCCACCCAGGCACCCCGCUCUUUCUUCCUUUCUUGCUGUUUUGCAAUAGUCCAGAAGGUUCUGAACAUGGUUAGAGAUUCCCAGACCAUCCCACCUGGAAGUCCUCCAGCCUUCCCUGCCACCCCAAGGUGGGCCCAAAAGCAUCUUUCUUCUAGACUGCUGCCUGCUUGCUUUUAGACCAUGCCUGAGUCCUGGAGGUCCCACACAGCAGUCCCUGUUGACCGAAAAAUCAGUUAGUUCUUGUCACCAGGGCUCUCCUGGAGUAGUGGUAGGAGAGGGGCCAGCCAGAGUGGGGACCUGGGAGUCCACACACUGGGCUUCCCCUGGCCAGAAGGAGAGGACUGGGGCCUAGAGGCCACCUGGAACCCAAUGUGCCUUCAAAGGCUGCCUUCCUGGGCCAGAGGCUCAGCACAUGUGGGCCCAGGUUUCCUGUCACAGAGGGGCUGCCUCCCUGCUCCACAAGACUGGGAUUCCACUGUGGCCAGAUGGGGCCCUACAGAUGUGCUGGGGAGGUUAUCAGGUACCCUCAGCCCAGACCCGCCCACAUUCAGGAAAGGAAGAAGGGUGUGACUUCGGCGUAUUCAGAGGUUGCAGUGGCUCCCCAGAAAAGCCAGAACGGGGGCCAGGCCUCUGGCAGUGUGCCCGCCCUACCCCUGGGACCCAGGGGCUACAGAUCAAGGAGCAGAGAGCACAGCCCAACCUGGUGAGUGAGCGGUCGGGGACCCUAGACCAUCUCCUUCCCCUCAGCCUCUGUUUCCUCAUGUGUAUCAAGAUCUAGGAGGCAGCUCCUUCAGGAUCCCUAUUCUUCUUGGCCCUGGGAAGGUGGCGUUGCUUUGUAGUUUGACUUGGGGGGAAAUUGGGGAGUUCUGGCUUCUCUCUGGAGGGCCCACCCUGGGCCCUGGUUCAAGGGAUGUCUUGGGCUGAGUGGGGGCUUUAACACCAGAAUCCUUAGGGCUCCUGACCUGUAGGUAGAGAGCUUCUGGGCCCCAUGUUCAGCUCUGGGGACUCUGUCCAUCUGUAUGCUUAUGAGUCCCUGUGAGUCAUGGACUGAUUUGGAUGUUUCUGUCAUCCCGGCUUUCCAGGUGGCAUCAGGGUUUGCCCAGUCCCUCAGACCAGGUCUUAACCUGGCAUUGGUUAGUUCUUGGCAUGCUGCCCACAGGUAGGGGGGCCACCGGCAUGCCCCAGUGGGCUAGUCUGACUUGGACUCAGGUCUAGAGCUCACGUGUGUCUCUUUGCCACAUGUGUGUGAGUCUGUGUGGAGGGGCUUAGCUCCCAGGGCAUUAGAGUCCUUGGGGCUCACUGAGUCAGCUUGGCCUUCAGCAGGUUACAAAUGGGGAGAUCUGCUCUGAGAUUGCCAGGAAGACCAGGACCCACCUGGGGUCAGGGCACAGGGCUUGGGAGGUGACUGGGGCACACUCAGCUGAGAGGGAACAUGACUCUGGACCUCACAUAUGGCUGAUGCUCUGGGUACCAUUAGAUAGACAGGCCUUAAGCUGUCCCAAGCUGAGGUGGGGGGCUCCCAGAAUCACCUCUUGGUCCCACCCAGGCCCCUGAAGGGUUCUAGAACAAAGGAAGUCAGUAUGGUCAACCCAGGCCUGGAGUUGAGCUCAGCUUGGGUCAUUCAGAACUGAGGUUGGGGUGUGCUCACUGGCACACAGUCCACAUCCUUGUCCUUCCAACCCUGGGAGCCCCAGUCCACCUGUCCACAUCAGCACAGCCAUUCCUGAGUUCAAGGGUCAAGGCCCCAGACUGCGGAGCCUGAGUGCUCAUCCUCAUAAAGAUGGUAGCCUGUGUCUGGGGAAAACCGUACCCACAGUCCCCUGGGGAGUAGGAAGGUGCUCUUAGCCCUCUGACUGCCAGCCCAGUGUCUGGCAUCUGCUGGGAGGAUGUGAAUCUAGGUGGGGGGCUCUUGGGUGGGUGGGGACGGGAGAUGAGGAAACCUCAGGCGGGGAGAGUCAGUGGCUCAUUUCCACCCUUUCUGAUUUUGCAUGCCCAUGCAGAGGAAAUGAUCUUGUAAGUCCUCUUUGAAGUUAUUUGAGCAGAAACUCAGGGUUUAAAGUCGUCCCUACCCCUGCCAGGCAGGGCUGUAUGGUCCUGUGCUUAUUGCCAAGUUGCUCCAAAGCUGGCUUCUUGGUUUUGUGUAGAAAGGAGAAUACACCCACACCCUCUCGAUGUUCCACCUGGCCCCAAGAUCCCAACUGGUGGGAAGGAACCAAGCAGGAGGCAGGAGGGCAGCCCCCUCUACAGCCAGCUGACUUUCGUUUUCCAGGAAAGUGUUGAAAUCUGCAGUGGGUGAAAGAAUAUAUUUUGAAUUCACUUAAAAAAAUAUCAUAAAGGAAAAAGUCAGCGUCUUUAAAAUCCAGGCUUCCUAAAAAAAGGAUCACGUGCUUGGUGUAUUGUGAGUGAUAUAAUUCUGAUUUCCUUGGGGAAAGAUGACCAAGAGAAGGCAUGAGAAAGGCUUCAAGAAAACCUGUUCCUGCCCAGCAGUGAGGUUGGCCUGAACUUCCAGAGGCCUGGCUGCAGGUGCACUAGAUAUGGGAGGGACACAUCUGGAUCCUGUACCCUGGGAGCCACAGGUGACCUUUCCUGGGGAUUCUGCAGACGGCCACAUCUGUGGUCAUGCAUUCAUCCAUUCACUAAAGAUUUAUUGAGCACCUACUAUAUGACGUGGACUGUGCUGUGCUCUGGAAAGGCAACAAGGAGCCAUAACCACAGCAUACACCCUCUUGGAAUUUUGUCAGGGGUGGGCAGGGACCAGCCUGGGGUGGAGGAAGUUCAGGGGGGGCUUCCCUGAAGAGGUGAAGCUUGGACUGGACCUUGAUGUCUGGAUGGCAGUUCAUUCAGUAGGAGGAGGUCCAGGCAGUGGGAACAGCAUAUGCAAAGGCCAUGAGGUGAGUGCUCUGCUCCCCUGAGUGACUGGGGAAAGUCAGAGAAGGCAGUGGGCUAGAAAGGUAUGGGUGAGCCUGGGGGGUGGGCAGGGCCUGGUGGCUGUGGUAAUAACUUUGGCCUCACCAAACGUCCGCAUGAAUCCAGGGGAGUGUUUUAAACAAGAGGGUGGCACCAGGCUGUAUUGUACAAGUCCCCUGGAGGGACUGCAAUGGCAGUAAAGCCAUUUGGUGGGUGGAUCCAUUUCCUCCCUCCUGACUUUCCUCCCUCUCUGUUAAGACUUCCAGCCACACCUGCUUUUCUCUAAACCAGACCUAUGCAGUCUUGCUUGCAUAUCACCUCAUGCAGUCCUCUCCAUGUGGCAUUUGUAGCAUCUCUCUCCUGCAUUUUUGCCAGUUAAACUGGCAUUCCCCGCCCCCCUCCUCCACCCCAGACCUGUAGAAAUACCGACCUCCUCACCCAAUCACUCCCUGGCUGGCCCUUGACCAAGUGGAUAUCCAUCUUCCCACUGUGAAAACCAUUUGUUUUCAAGUUUGUUGAGCCAUGUGGCUGCAUGAGUUCUGGGCAAGCCACUGCGUGUAUGGUGUGCUGGCCAAUCGUGUGGACCUAGGACAGCUGCCUGGAGCCCAACUUGCCUUUGCUCCCUCCCACCUGUGUGACCCGUCAAGUACCUCAUCUCUCAGGCCUCAGUUUCCCCAUCUACAGGAUAGACACAAUGAUCUCUGUGAGGAUGGUUGGGAGAAUUCACAGAGCCAGCCUGUAGGAGGACGUGCUCAGAACUGGGUGCAGCCCACAGAAGAGCUCCAGAAACGUCUGAUUAUUACCACUGGGCAAAUGGCACGUGCCUGGGCACCAAAACAUUUUUGGCAAGAAUGUGACGUUUCAAAAUAGGCGUUGUAUGUUGCCAGCAUGAGAAAAGUCAGGACUCCAUUGGACUUCGUGAUCCUUGUUUGAUGGUUAAGGUUAUUUUUAUUUACAGUGAUAUCUCAGUGCUUAGAGCCUGUAGGGUUCUAGGCCCUCUGUGUUCAUCUCGCCCAUCCCCUCAUCUCUCAGAGAGGACCCUGGGCUCAGAGGGGAUGGUGGGGGGGGUGGUUGUUCUAGGCCAGCCAGAGAGAAGAUAGCAGGGCAGCGCUCUUAUCUCCUGGUCAUCCCAUCUCAGAGUAGAUGCUUGUCCCCCGCCCCCCGCCCCACUGCCGAAGACAGUGAGCCUCCUGAACAGAAGUGAGUUCCUUCUAUCCCUAUCUCUAUGCUGCAUUUCUCUGAAGGUUCAGGCCUCUGGAAGGGGACUCAGUUACCCAAUUUGGGGGAGCCACUGGACACACAGAGGCUUCCCACACUGUGCACACACCAGGUCCCAGAAGAAUUCUGUGGCACAUCUCAAGCCAAAGGAUCCUCCAGCCCAGGGUGACCUCGCUGGCCUCACGGGGAGGGCCCUGGUAGAUACUUGCUCACCCCAGGGUUUAUGUAAUGUCGUCUUUCCCAAUCGUCCUCAAAGCCAUGCUAUGACAUAAGCAAAUGUACGCCUCUGUCUGCCCCAGUGGCUGGCGGGUAUUUAUCGAGCACUUGCUAUGAGCUAGGCAUUUGCACGCAUUAUCCACCAAAUUACCCUCACUGUCCUCUUGAGAUAGCACUUACCACUGCAUUUUUUAAAAAAUAGA